ensembl:lncRNA
UCUGUACUUUCAAAGACUGCCAUGUGACCAUUUUAGCUCUUUCUCUGCCUCAUUUGUGACUUAUAUGGAAAUGCUUCCCUGAAGGUACACCUCUGCUUCUUGACCUUAACUGAAAUGAGCAGCGGUUACUCUUACCUCCCGCCACUGUAAUAUUUUAUUCAACUAACCUUAGUGAGUGCAAGGCAACAGCAACCACUGUGUGAGGAUCUGCACAAAUGCAUGAGUGGCCAUGCAGCACCAGCAGAUUACUGCUAUCAAGCCUUGCUUUUAUGGGGAUUUCUGCUGAAUGCUGAAAGCUGGAGCUCAGUUGAUCACUGGGGACCCACUCUUGGCUGCUACUACCAAGCACGUGGCUGGUUUUCAGUAUUAAACCUAUUUAAG